AUUGAACGCUGGCGGCAUGCCUUACACAUGCAAGUCGAACGGCAGCACGGGUGCUUGCACCUGGUGGCGAGUGGCGAACGGGUGAGUAAUACAUCGGAACAUGUCCUGUAGUGGGGGAUAGCCCGGCGAAAGCCGGAUUAAUACCGCAUACGAUCUACGGAUGACAGCGGGGGACCUUCGGGCCUCGCGCCAUAGGGUCGGCCGAGGGCUGAUUAGCUAGUUGGUGGGGUAAAGGCCUACCAAGGCGACGAUCAGUAGCUGGUCUGAGAGGACGACCAGCCACACUGGGACUGAGACACGGCCCAGACUCCUACGGGAGGCAGCAGUGGGGAAUUUUGGGCAAUGGGCGAAAGCCUGAUCCAGCAAUGCCGCGUGUGUGAAGAAGGCCUUCGGGUUGUAAAGCACUUUUGUCCGGGAAGAAAUCCUUGGCCCUAAUACGGUCGGGGGAUGACGGUACCGGAAGAAUAAGCACCGGCUAACUACGUG
rnacentral:rRNA from 1 species